GAUGAACGCUGGCGGCGUGCCUAAUACAUGCAAGUCGAGCGAACGGACGAGAAGCUUGCUUUUCUGAUGUUAGCGGCGGACGGGUGAGUAACACGUGGAUAACCUACCUAUAAGACUGGGAUAACUUCGGGAAACCGGAGCUAAUACCGGAUAAUAUUUUGAACCGCAUGGUUCAAAAGUGAAAGACGGUCUUGCUGUCACUUAUAGAUGGAUCCGCGCUGCAUUAGCUAGUUGGUAAGGUAACGGCUUACCAAGGCAACGAUGCAUAGCCGACCUGAGAGGGUGAUCGGCCACCCUGGAACUGAGACACGGUCCAGACUCCUACGGGAGGCAGCAGUAGGGAAUCUUCCGCAAUGGGCGAAAGCCUGACGGAGCAACGCCGCGUGAGUGAUGAAGGUCUUCGGAUCGUAAAACUCUGUUAUUAGGGAAGAACAUAUGUGUAAGUACCUGUGCACAUCUUGACGGUACCUAAUCAGAAAGCCACGGCUAACUACGUG
rnacentral:rRNA from 1 species